CAGUAACAUGAGCUGAGAUCUGUGAAUGAAAGCAGUCUUCUGGAUGAAAUUGCCUUGAUUUGGCAAAGAGAUUGUCCUGUGGAGAGAGGAUCCCAUGCUGGAGCAGUCUGUCCCUGAAGGACUGCACCCUGUAGCCCCUGGACUGAACGACUCUCCAUGGCUCAGGCAGAGAAAGCAGAGAACUUAUGCUGCCUGAAGAUGGUAUGGAAUCUCUCUCUGCUAUGCAACUUCACACAGCCCCAGUUUUCCAUAAUGCAAG
rnacentral:lncRNA from 12 species